GAUGAACGCUAGCGGCAGGCCUAACACAUGCAAGUCGAGGGAGAGGUUACCUUCGGGUAACCGAAACCGGCGCACGGGUGCGUAACGCGUAUACAAUCUGCCUUUCACAUAGGGAUAGCCCGAAGAAAUUUGGAUUAAUACCUAAUGGUAUAUAAGAGCGGCAUCGUUUUUAUAUUAAAGCUACGGUGGUGAAAGAUGAGUAUGCGUUCUAUUAGCUAGUUGGAGAGGUAACGGCUCCCCAAGGCGACGAUAGAUAGGGGUUCUGAGAGGGAUGUCCCCCACACUGGUACUGAGAUACGGACCAGACUCCUACGGGAGGCAGCAGUGAGGAAUAUUGGACAAUGGUCGGAAGACUGAUCCAGCCAUGCCGCGUGCAGGAUGAAGGUCCUAUGGAUUGGAAACUGCUUUUGUAAGGGAAGAAUAGGGAGUACGUGUACUUUGAGGACGGUGCCUUACUAAUUAGCAUUGGCUAACUCCGUGCCAGCAGCCGCGGUUUGCGGAGGAUGCGAGCGUUAUCCGGAAUCAUGUGGUUAAAAGGGUCCGUAGCGGGUUGAUAAGUCUGAGGUGAAAGCGCUUAUUUACUAAGCACUGCUUUUAAAAUUGUCGUUCUGGAAUGAUUGUGAGGUGGUGGAAAUGUGAAGUGUGUGCGGUAAUUGACUAUGAUGUUCACAGAAACUGAUGGCGUGGGCAUGUUGCGCCUCCUGUCCUUUCUGCUGAUGUGGAAUGAGUGAGUGUGUAAUGUGUGAAAUAUGAGAGGAUGUGUGUGGAUUCUUGUGUUGUGUGGUCUUGUGCUGCUCUUGCUUUGUUGUGCUGAAAGAAAAUGAAUGUUGUAUAGUUGAUUGUGUGUAGUGUUGAUGUUUUUGCCUGUUGUUGUGCAGGUGUGUUUAUGUCUGGUGUGUCUUGUUGUGUGUUUUGUGUGUGUGUGUGUAGUGCUCGUCUGUUGGUGUGUGGUUUGUGUAGUGGUGUGGUUGUGUUGUUGCUGUGUGUGCGUAUGUGUAUGU
rnacentral:rRNA from 1 species